rfam:Oryza nivara chromosome 8, whole genome shotgun sequence.
AAAGACUCAAUUCUUAGAUUUUCGUGUCCAACGUUUGACUGUCCAUCUUAUAUGAAAUUUUUUUAUGAUUAGUAUUUUCAUUAUUGUUAGAUGAUAAAACAUGAAUAAUACUUUAUACAUGACUUAUCUUUUUAAAAAAAUUUCAAAUAAGACGGACCGUCAAACGGACAUCAAAAUCCAGAAAUUGAUUUUUU